UUUUUCAAGCCCCAGAAUCAUCUGGUCGCCCUUCACCAGACUGAUUGCACAGCAGCAAUAUCUUCUUAUAACGUGGUGACUAUAAUGUUCAAUGUUCCCUUGUCGCCCAGCCUGAGGUGGAGCAGGAGAGAGAGGCAUGACAGGAGAAGGAAGAGAAGGGAUUUGAAAACCUCAGUGACUUCAAUUUUAAUGGCAGGUACAUGUGCAAUCUAUGUUUUUUCUUUCCAGUAUUUCACUUUCGCAUUCUAAUACUAAAAAAAAAA